rnacentral:rRNA from 1 species
CAGUAGCCACGGUAACACGUAGAGUGCGAGCGUUAAUCGGAAUUACUGGGCGUAAAGCGUGCGCAGGCGGUUCGUUAAGACAGAUGUGAAAUCCCCGGGCUCAACCUGGGAACUGCAUUUGUGACUGGCGAGCUAGAGUAUGGCAGAGGGGGGUAGAAUUCCACGUGUAGAAGUGAAAUGCGUAGAGAUGUGGAGGAAUACCGAUGGCGAAGGCAGCCCCCUGGGCCAAUACUGACGCUCAUGCACGAAAGCGUGGGGAGCAAACAGGAUUAGAUACCCCCGUAGUCCCUGUCUCUUAUAC